CCUACGGGUGACAUCAGUGGGGAAUCUUCCGCAAUGGGCGCAAGCCUGACGCAGCCAUGCCGCGUGAACGAAGACGGUCUUCGGAUUGUAAAGUUCUGUCCUUAUCGAAGAGAGAGGAUAGAGUGAAAAAUGAUAUACUAGAACGUUAGAUGAGGAGGCAGCCCCGGCUAACUACGUGCCAGCAGCCGCGGUAAUACGUAGGGGGCGAGCGUUGUCCGGAAUCACUGGGUGUAAAGGGCGCGUAGGCGGUAAUAUAAGUCAGAUGUGAAAGGUGGGGGCUCAACCCCUAGAGUGCAACUGAUACUGGAUAACUUGAGUGUGAGAGAGGGAAGCGGAAUUCGUAGUGUAGCGGUGAAAUGCGUAGAUAUUAGGAGGAACACCAGUGGCGAAGGCGGCUUUCUGGCUCAUAACUGACGCUGAGGCGCGAAAGCGUGGGGAGCAAACAGGAUUAGAUACCCGAGUAGUC
rnacentral:rRNA from 1 species